CCUACGGGAGGCAGCAGUGGGGAAUAUUGGACAAUGGGGGAAACCCUGAUCCAGCGACGCCGCGUGAGUGAAGAAGUAUUUCGGUACGUAAAGCUCUAUCAGCAGGAAAGAAAAUGACGGUACCUGACUAAGACGCCCCGGCUAACUACGUGCCGGCGGCCGCGGUAAUACGUAGGGGGCAAGCGUUAUCCGGAUGUACUGGGUGUAAAGGGAGCGUAGACGGCAGCGCAAGUCUGGCGUGAAAUGCCGGGGCACACCCCCGGAACUGCUCUGGAAACUGUGAAGAUGGGGUGCAGGAGAGGUAUGCGGAAUUCCUGGGGUAGCGGUGAAAUGCGUAGAUAUCAGGAGGAACACCGGCGGCGAAGGCGGCUUACUGGACUGUAACUGACGUUGAGGCUCGAAGGCGUGGGGAGCAAACAGGAUUAGAUACCCUGGUAGUC
rnacentral:rRNA from 1 species